rnacentral:rRNA from 1 species
CCUACGGGAGGCAGCAGUGAGGAAUAUUGGUCAAUGGACGAGAGUCUGAACCAGCCAAGUAGCGUGAAGGAUGACUGCCCUAUGGGUUGUAAACUUCUUUUAUAUGGGAAUAAAAUGUUCCACGUGUGGGAUUUUGUAUGUACCAUAUGAAUAAGGAUCGGCUAACUCCGUGCCAGCAGCCGCGGUAAUACGGAGGAUCCGAGCGUUAUCCGGAUUUAUUGGGUUUAAAGGGAGCGUAGGUGGAUUGUUAAGUCAGUUGUGAAAGUUUGCGGCUCAACCGUAAAAUUGCAGUUGAAACUGGCAGUCUUGAGUACAGUAGAGGUUGGCGGAAGUCGUGGUGUAGCGGUGAAAUGCUUAGAUAUCACGAAGAACUCCGAUUGCGAAGGCAGUUCACUGGACUGCAACUGACACUGAGGCUCGAAAGUGUGGGUAUCAAACAGGAUUAGAUACCCCUGUAGUC